rnacentral:tRNA from 2 species
GCGGGUGUGGCUGAGUGGUUAGGCAGCGGCCUGCAAAGCCGUACACACGGGUUCAAAUCCCGUCACUCGCUCUA